rnacentral:rRNA from 1 species
UACAGAGGGGGCAAGCGUUGUUCGGAAUUACUGGGCGUAAAGGGCGCGUAGGCGGCCUGCUAAGUCGAACGUGAAAUCCCCGGGCUCAACCCGGGAACUGCGUCCGAUACUGGCAGGCUUGAAUCCGGGAGAGGGAUGUGGAAUUCCAGGUGUAGCGGUGAAAUGCGUAGAUAUCUGGAGGAACACCAGUGGCGAAAGCGCCUUGCUGGGCCAGUACUGACACUGAGGAACGAAAGCCAGGGGAGCGAAAGGG